AAAAGCUGGGUUGAGAGGGU
rnacentral:ncRNA from 5 species